UACGUAGGGGGGCAAGCGUUUGUCCGGAAUCAUUGGGCGUAAAGAGCGCGUAGGCGCCCAGUAAGUCCGCUCUGAAAGUCAGGGGCUCAACCCCCUGAAUGCGGGUGGAUACUGCUGGGCUAGAGUCCGGAAGAGGCGAGUGGAAUUCCGGGUGUAGCGGUGGAAUGCGUAGAGAUCCGGAGGAAGACCGGUGGCGAAGGCGGUCUGCUGGGCGAGUUCCUGACGCUGAGGCACGAAGGUCAGGGGAGCAAACGGG
rnacentral:rRNA from 1 species